rnacentral:rRNA from 1 species
UACAGAGGUCUCAAGCGUUGUUCGGAUUCAUUGGGCGUAAAGGGUGCGUAGGCGGCGCGGUAAGUCGGGUGUGAAAUCUCGGAGCUUAACUCCGAAACUGCAUUCGAUACUGCCGUGCUUGAGGACUGGAGAGGAGACUGGAAUUUACGGUGUAGCGGUGAAAUGCGUAGAUAUCGUAAGGAAGACCAGUGGCGAAGGCGGGUCUCUGGGACGGUACUGACGCUGAGACGCGAAAGCGCGGGGAGCGAACAGG